CGCAGGAAAACUAAAGCCACUUGGCAUGGCACAUGUCCUUUAUUAAUACCACAUAGAGAAAGUUAACACAGUUAUAUAGUGGGUACUAACAGAAAUAAGUUUUAGAAACCUUGAGUAGUUUUGCCAUUAAAAAUAAAGCUUGGGUAUUUAUCUGUUACAUUUAUAAAAGCUUGGGUAGUUUCGCCGCUAAUAUCCCUAACAUAUAUAAAAGAUUGAAGUGUUAAGUUAUUUUAUCUUUUAGUUACUAUUUAUGUGUAAAGUUAUUUUGGUAUUUUGUGGCUAAUAUUGGCAUAAUUAUAAUUAAAUAUAGAGAAAUUGGUGGAAAUGAUCUAUUUUUAUGAUGCAUUUUGCACUAUGCCCUACUUUAUAUAGUUUUUAGUUAAAUGACAUAUUUUAUUAAUAAAACUUUGUUAUUAUCCUUUUUGCCCUUAGAAUAAUAUAAUGUUAAAUUAAAACAAAAAAACCCUAAGACUAUCUUCUUCUUCCUCACUCAUCUCACCCACCCACCCACAACCACCCUCCCCCAUCCUGCCGCCGCCACCACCACCACCUGGGAUAGUCGUCGGGGACCACUGCCCUUCACAGCUACCACCACGCCUCUCCACAAAUCUGGCCAACAAGAUGUCAUCGGAAAAUAUUGUAAUAUUAUGUGAUGGAUUAUGGAAAAAUAAUGAAGACUCAUGGAAAUGGAUUUCAAAUGGCUCACCAUCAAGAUCAAGUUUGGUACAAACUAACCUCACUUUUGAGGAGUUAUUUGAACAUAUUUAUGAAGUUACAGAAAUCGAUCGCAACCUCUUCGAUAUAGAAUUAACUAAUAAGGUAACGACGAUGGUGGAAAUUGAACUGAUUGCAAUAAAGAAUAGUAGAGACGAUGUUAGUUUCUUUACAUGGCAAGAGCGUGAUCUGAUUUCAUUAUGUGUGGGUUUGAUAAAGAAGAUGAAAAAUGCACUCACUAAGGAUAAACUUGUUACUAAUAUUGAUUCUACUACAAAGGUUGAUUCUAUUGCAAACCUUUCUAGUGAUGAUGAUUUUGAUGAUGCUGGUUUAAACGAUGAUAAGGAUGUUGGUUUAGAAGAGUGAAGGUGAUGAUGAUGAUGACAAAUACAGUGAUGUUGAAGAGGGGGAAAGAAACAAUAUUGAUGAUGAUCUUGUUGAGGUAAAUUUGAAUGUCCCAUGUCAUGAAAAUAGAACUUUUGAUGAUUACUUUGAUGGUGCAUGCAUAUGUAAUGUUCCUGAUACUAGUUCUGCACCUCACACUAUUGAAGAAAACCAUGGUCCACUUCCUCAUGUAUGUCAUGAUGAUCAUUGUAAUGAAACAAGUCAUGUUAGUAGUACACCAAGCUCAAAUGCAACAAGUAAUGUUGAAGAGGUUUUUGUGUUA